CGGCACCGCGUAGUGAAGCUCCAACUGAUCAACCUCUGCUGCCUCCUCCUUCUGUGGCCCCGCCGACUGCUGAAGCCCCGCCUACUACCGAAGCACCACCCGACCAAUGAAUACUAUUAGUUUACAUUAUUGUAAAAUAUUUGUACUUUUUUUUUUUAAAAUUUUUUUUUUUAUGUACUUUUUUUUUUUUUAUCAUUAAUUUUAAAUUUUAUCUCUUUUUUUUUUUUUUUUUAUAUGUAAAUUAAUGUAAAGAGACUUUGGUUAACCUUCCCCCACACUUAAACUAAAUAACACAAACUCACAGAAAUCAACCAAAUAACACAACUAACU
rnacentral:lncRNA from 1 species